rnacentral:misc_RNA from 1 species
GAAAUGCGAUAAGUAAUGCGAAUUGCAGAAUUUAGUGAAUCAUCGAAUCUUUGAACGCACAUUGCGCCCCUUGGUAUUCCAUGGGGCAUGCCUGUUCGAGCGUCAUUUGUACCCUCAAGCUCUGCUUGGUGUUGGGUGUUUGUCCCGUCUCCGCGCGUGGACUCGCCCCAAAGUGAUUGGCAGCCGGCGUACUGGUCCCGGAGCGCAGCACAUGUCGCGCAAACGAGUGCCUUGGUACGGCGGCGUCCAUAAGCCCCUCUCUCACGCUCUUGACCUCGGAUCAGGUAGGGAUACCCGCUGAACUUAAGC